UACGGAGGGUGCAAGCGUUGUCCGGAUUUAUAGGGUUUAAAGGGUGCGUAGGCGGCCUCUUAAGUCAGUGGUGAAAGCCCGCGGCUCAACCGCGGAACUGCCAUUGAUACUGGGAGGCUUGAGUACAGACGAGGUAGGCGGAAUUGAAGAUGUAGCGGUGAAAUGCUUAGAUAUCUUCAAGAACACCGAUUGCGUAGGCAGCUUACUAGGCUGUAACUGACGCUGAGGCACGAAAGCGUGGGGAGCGAACAGG
rnacentral:rRNA from 1 species